ACAAUCCAAAUCAGAUCAUGGAGUGUGAUCACUAUGCCUUCCUAGAACCUUUUAUUCUUAACAGGUUGCUAGAUUUUUCCAAAUCAAAGUAAUAAAAUGCCCAGGUGUCUAACUUUCAGUUUCAGGGUUCUGUGUGUAUCUAUUCUGUGGACCUGAAGAUGUCAAAGGAGUCCUAUGCUGAAGUCAUUGUUUGAGAGUUCUUCUGACUUGCCUUUUCUAGACAAUGUAUCUAAGGAUCCCUUUAACUUGUAAUAUGAAGAAAAAACUGAAGGCAGAGAAACCAGAUAGGAGGUCAACAGAUGAAAACCUGAACUGAGAAUUUGCACAAAUAUGAAGAAAAAUCCCGCUCUGAAAUGUUGAGAAGGUAAAAUGAGGGACACGAUGAGCAAUGAGAUGUAUGGGACUGUGCUGAGAGGGGAAGAGGCCAAUUUUUACUCAGAAGUUCAUGGAAUAUGAAGCUACCAACAAAACCAGUGAGUUCACAAGAGGAAUUAGAGGGCGCAUGUUUUAAAGUUCAUGCCUACAAAGAAACAAGACAGAAAGCGGAAAGACUAUGCAUUUGGUUCAGAGAAUCGGAUAACCAUCCACACUUGUUUAAACUCAGCAGCAUCCCAGAAGCCACCAGUACCAGAGGACACAAUUAUCUGGAGAAAGCUGUAGCAUUCAACAUCACUUAGUAUGCCUGAAAUGUGCCAACACAGUACAUCUAGCAAUGUUGCCAUUUGAACGAAGUUCUCUUACAGCAGAAGGACCACCUCCCUCUCCCUCCCCUUCACUUCUUAAGAAAGUUUUUAAUGAUCAGUUUGCCAGAAAAGUAACAAUUACUAACUCAGAAGGUGCUUUUGAAAACAAAUACCUGCUGGAGAACAGUUACAGAGUGAAAAUUCCAACACUGUUUUCACUGACAACCAGGCUGGGAUCCUGGGUAAUGAUGUCCAUUAUCUCAUGCGGUCCCAUUCUAAAAUGGAAACAACAACUUCACACGGUGAUAGAAUGGUUAAGUACAAAGAUCCAUGCAGCACAGUGUCUGGUCAGCUCCCAGCAUCAGAUCCAUUUUCAUCACCACUCCCUACCCCUACCACUUCCAACAUCAGGGUUACUAUGUGUUUAUUUUGAUGACAGUGUAAUACAUCGGACACUAUGGAAACAUCAGUGGCAUUUAGUAGGCAUUGGCAAUUAAUUAUAA